GCAUUAGACCACCUUAUAGCAACGGUUUCCAAAACCGUCGCCAUAGGGUUACCUAAGGCAAUGGUUUUCACCCUAUUGCAUCUAUUUUAAUAUCUAUACUCUAUUGCAUCGGUUUUAUUAGUCCGCCAAAAAAAUACUGUGUCCGAUAUCAUCCACCAUAAAGAAAAGGCUCCCAGCUCCGACCACCAUAAAAAAGUAGAAAUUCAGCUCCGACCACCACUGAUAUUUCAAGCUCCAACCGCCAUUGAUAUUCAGCUUCAACUUCUCAUUUUCAACAUCUCUCUCAAUCUGUCUCCAUCCUCAGUCACUCUAUCUGACCGUCUGAGUUCCCUUUCACCCCAAAUCCGUCAUAUUUCAGCCACUGCCAGAUUUGUACUCUACUAAUCUCAGCUGCGACAGCAUCCUCCAAGAAAUUGUAAAGAGGCACCACUGCUCCGACCACCACUUCAAUUUCUGAGCAAAUUUGGGCCUUUCUUCUAAUUUAUUGAUUUUAAGGCUCAUCGAGCAUUGGAUUGAAGGAUAAAACUACUGGAUCCACUAUUUUGAAGUUGUUACAUUUUGGUGUACAAGGUGCCGAUUCCAAGAACAUCUUCUACUUGAGAGAAAUCAAUGACGCUGCUAAGAUUGUGGAAGCGUUAAAAGCUAACAAAAAUGCAAAGGCUGUAGUUGUUGGAGGAGGGUACAUCGGUCUCGAGCUUACUGUUGUACUAAGACUGAACAAUAUUGAAGUCAAUAUGAUUUAUCUAAAAUUGUGGUGCACUUGCAUAUGGUGGAUUAGCUGGAUCUACUGUUGCACUGUUCACAACUCCCUUCGAUGUUGUCAAGAAAAGAUUACAGACAUAGGUUAUUCAUCUGAUGUGUUCCCUUUAUGUUAGUAUGUCGUACAGUUUGCUUGAAACGAGGAUCAAUUUAAAGUAUUCUGAAAGCAUUCCGUUUCUGUGUUUCAUAUCCCUUUUUUUCUAUUUAACUGAUUACUAAUGAGAAACUGAUUUAAGACCGGUAUGAGUGCCUUUGGAAAUCUUCAGCUUCUGUACUUGUCUUUCCCUUUACACUAUAUGGAUGACUGAUUUGUAUAGUUCUUAAGGAAGUUUUUGCC